UAAGAUUCUACCAUGUUAGUCUGGUUCUAUAAUACUAUUAAAUAAUAUUAUAAGCAUUUUUCUUGGAGAGGAAUAGGGAUUAACAGGAAGCAGUGGCUUUUUCAUAGAUUUGGGAAGCUCUGAAAUGUUUUUUUUUCUAGGCAGCUUAAAUAUCCUUGAAACAUUAAUUUUGGAAUAAGAGUUGCAUAAGCACCAGUGUAAUUCCUCCACUUUAUAAAGAGAGGCACCGCCACCAUCUGCCUUCCUUGCCCUGCGCGUGCUUGAACAAAACUGAGCUGAAUGUACUGGCUCCCACCUGUACCCAAGCCCGUCAGUGCCUGGACCAAACCCAACGAGAAUAGGAAGCAUAUUUAGAGCCUUUGACUAUUUCUCCCUCAGUGGGUACAUCUGGUGCCCAGCAACAGCUGCUAGUCUCACUGCUCAUUCCCAGCUCAAAUCUCUGUAGUCCGGUGGAUCCUGGAGGCCCUGACUCUAAACCUGGCCCCAGGGGCCCGCCUGGCUUCAUGGUUACAGAAACUAUCCCCUUUUCUCUCUUUACAGGUCUAGGUCUCUGCUAGUUCUUCUUGGAUCUUUGGAUGCUGUCUCUUCACUUUCCACUGUAGUGUCUUACAGAAUAUGAUCAGAUCUGAAAUGACCACUCCUCGGCUGAUUUCUAGGUAUCCAGGUAGGUGUGUGCUUGGUGUCUACACAGAUGCUUGGACACAGAGAAGCAAAAUAUGGAGAGAUGGGGUCCGCACCUCAGGCUGA
rnacentral:lncRNA from 1 species